rnacentral:misc_RNA from 1 species
CCGUCCCAUAAUAGUUGUCGCUUUAACUUUUUCCUUGCAACAUUUGACCAUUCGUUUUAUUUGAAAAAAUUAGUGCAAAUAUAAAAAAGGAUAAGUCAUACUUAAAGUACUUUUGAUAAUAAAGCAAAUCACAAAGGAAAUAAAUAAUAAUUCCAAAAUUUUUUGAAUAAGACAAAUGAUCAAACAUUAUAAAGGAAAACUCAAAGCGACAAGUAAUAUGGGACGGAGGU